rnacentral:rRNA from 1 species
AUACGUAGGGGGCUAGCGUUAUCCGGAAUUACUGGGCGUAAAGGGCACGCAGGCGGAUAUUUAAGUCAGCUGUGAAAUAUUAAGGCUCAACCUUGAUACUGCAUUUGAAACUGUUCCCCUUGAGUGUGGGAGAGGUAAGCGGAAUUCCCGGUGUAACGGUGAAAUGUGUAGAUAUCGGGAGGAAUACCGGUGGCGAAGGCGGCUUACUGGACCAUAACUGACGCUGAGACACGAAAGCGUGGGGAGCAAACAGGAUUAGAUACCCUGGUAGUCCACGCCCUAAACGAUGAAUGCUAGGUGUGGGGGCAAAAGCCUCCGUGCCGCAGCUAACGCAAUAAGCAUUCCACCUGGGGAGUACGGCCGCAAGGUUGAAACUUAAAGGAAUUGACGGGG